rnacentral:rRNA from 1 species
UCGAACGAACUCUUCGGAGUUAGUGGCGGACGGGUGAGUAACACGAGGGAACGUGCCUUUAGGUUCGGAAUAGCUCCUGGAAACGGGUGGUAAUGCCGAAUGUGCCCUUCGGGGGAAAGAUUUAUCGCCUUUAGAGCGGCCCGCGUCUGAUUAGCUAGUUGGUGAGGUAAAGGCUCACCAAGGCUACGAUCAGUAGCUGGUCUGAGAGGAUGACCAGCCACAUUGGGACUGAGACACGGCCCAAACUCCUACGGGAGGCAGCAGUGGGGAAUCUUGCGCAAUGGGCGAAAGCCUGACGCAGCCAUGCCGCGUGGAUGAUGAAGGUCUUAGGAUUGUAAAAUCCUUUCACCGGUGAAGAUAAUGACUGUAGCCGGAGAAGAAGCCCCGGCUAACUUCGUGCCAGCAGCCGCG